CCUCCUGUAGCUCAGUUGGUUAGAGCAGAGGACUCAUAAUCCUUUGGUCGCUGGUUCAAGUCCAGCCGGGAGGACCA
rnacentral:tRNA from 4 species